rnacentral:rRNA from 1 species
GACAGAGGGUGCAAACGUUGUUCGGAAUUACUGGGCGUAAAGCGUGUGUAGGCGGCCAUGUAAGUCAGGUGUGAAAGCCCCGGGCUCAACCCGGGAAGUGCACUUGAUACUGCGUGGCUUGAGUACUGGAGAGGUUGGUGGAAUUCUCGGUGUAGAGGUGAAAUUCGUAGAUAUCGAGAGGAACACCGGUGGCGAAGGCGGCCAACUGGACAGAUACUGACGCUGAGACACGAAAGCGUGGGGAGCAAACAGG